CGGCCCGGUAUACGGUCGGGUGCCCGGCGUGGUCAAGGAUGACUGUCAAUGGUGCAC
rnacentral:misc_RNA from 1 species